rnacentral:rRNA from 1 species
UGGGUAACCUGCCUCAAAGAGGGGAAUAGCCUCCCGAAAGGGAGAUUAAUACCGCAUAAUAUGUUUAAGUCGCAUGACUUUAACAUCAAAGGAUUUUCUUUUAGAAAUUCCACUUUGAGAUGGACCCGCGGCGCAUUAGCUAGUUGGUGAGGUAACGGCUCACCAAGGCAACGAUGCGUAGCCGACCUGAGAGGGUGAUCGGCCACAUUGGAACUGAGACACGGUCCAGCUCCGUAGG